rnacentral:rRNA from 1 species
GAUGAACGCUGGCGGCGUGCCUAAUACAUGCAAGUCGAGCGAACAGACGAGGAGCUUGCUCCUCUGCCGUUAGCGGCGGACGGGUGAGUAACACGUGGAUAACCUACCUCUAAGACUGGGAUAACUUCGGGAAACCGGAGCUAAUACUGGAUAAUAUAUUGAACCGCAUGGAUCAAUAGUGAAAGACGGUUUUGCUGUCACUUAUAGAUGGAUCCGCGCCGCAUUAGCUAGUUGGUAAGGUAACGGCUUACCAAGGCAACGAUGCGUAGCCGACCUGAGAGGAUGAUCGGCCACACUGGAACUGAGACACGGUCCAGACUCCUACGGGAGGCAGCAGUAGGGAAUCUUCCGCAAUGGGCGAAAGCCUGACGGAGCAACGCCGCGUGAGUGAUGAAGGUCUUCGGAUCGUAAAACUCUGUUAUUAGGGAAGAACAAAUGUGGAAGUAACUAUGCACGUCUUGACGGUACCUAAACAGAAAGCCACGGCUAACUACGUG